rnacentral:rRNA from 1 species
GUGCCAGCCGCCGCGGUAAUACGUAGGUGGCAAGCGUUGUCCAGAUUUACUGGGCGUAAAGGAUGUGUAGGCGGAUAUUUAAGUGAGAUGUGAAAUCCCCGGGCUUAACUUGGGGGCUGCAUUUCAAACUGGAUGUCUAGAGUGCAGGAGAGGAAAGCAGAAUUCCUAGUGUAGCGGUGAAAUGCGUAGAGAUUAGGAAGAAGACCAGUGGCGAAGGCGUGUUUCUGGCCUGUAACUGCCGCGGAGGCAUG